rnacentral:rRNA from 1 species
UACGUAGGGUGCGAGCGUUGUCCGGAAUUACUGGGCGUAAAGAGCUCGUAGGUGGUUUGUCGCGUUGUCCGUGAAAACUCACAACUCAAUUGUGGGCGUGCGGGCGAUACGGGCAGACUGGAGUACUGCAGGGGAGCUGGAAUUCCUGGUGUAGCGGUGAAAUGCGCAGAUAUCAGGAGGAACACCGGUGGCGAAGGCGGGUCUCUGGGCCGAUACUGACGCUGAGGAGCGAAAGCGUGGGGAGCGAACAGG